UACACCGAAAAGUCCAUAUAAAUCUUAUAUUUUUAUUAUCAAAAGGCUAAUUUUUUUAGGCCUUUUUGCAUAAAAAAUUCACUUAUUUUGGGCUUUUGCAAAAUCGGGUCACUUUUUUCGUUUUUGCAGAUUCGGUCCGUUUUUUCAGUAAACUGACCAAAAUACCCUUAUUACUUUUUCUCUUUCCUCUUUCUCUCUCCUCUUUCUCUUUCCUCCUCAAGCCCCUCCUCACCUCCCCGUCGCCCUCCUCAAGCCCGCCGCAAAGCUCCACGUCCUCCUCCUCCGCCUCCACAAGCCGAACCCGCCGCUGCGUCGUCACCAAAGUUGCAGGGGCGGAGCAAGCUCCUCGUCAAGCUCAAGGUCGAGGAGUCCCCGAUCGUUUCCCUCUUCACGCGAAGCUCCGCCACCGAGCCCAUCCUCCUCUCCCCCGCCGCCGCCGCCGAGCCCACUCCCACCGUCAUCUCCGUCGCCGUCGCCGUCGCCGAGCCCACGUCCCGCCCCUUGCCGACCGCCUCGUCACCCUCGAAUCGCCUCGUCACUCCCCUUGCUGAGCCCUCGUCACCUCCACCGUCGUCUCCGUCGCCGUCGCCGUCACCGUCGUCUCCGUUGCCGUCGCCAAGCCCACGCCC
rnacentral:lncRNA from 1 species